AGUGAACGCCGGCGGCGUGCUUAACACAUGCAAGUCGAACGAGAACGGGUUAUAGCUUGCUAUAAUUGUCAGCUAAGUGGCGCACGGGUGAGUAAUGUAUAGGUAAUAUGCCUCUUACUAAGGGAUAACAAAUGGAAACGUUUGCUAAUACCUUAUACUCCUUAUUAACAGAAGUUAAUAAGGGAAAGAUUUAUUGGUAAGAGAUUAGCCUGUAUUGUAUCAGUUAGUUGGUGGGGUAAUGGCUUACCAAGACUAUGACACAUAACAGGUUUGAGGGGAUGAUCAGUCACACUAGAACUGAGACACGGUCCAGACUCCUACGGGAGGCAGCAGUGGGGAAUAUUGCACAAUGGACGAAAGUCUGAUGCAGCAACGCCGCGUGGAGGAUGACACAUUUCGGUGCGUAAACUCCUUUUAUAUGAGAAGAUAAUGACGGUAUUAUAUGAAUAAGCACCGGCUAACUCCGUGCCAGCAGCCGCCGUAAGAC
rnacentral:rRNA from 1 species